UACGAAGGGUGCAAGCGUUACUCGGAAUUACUGGGCGUAAAGGGUGCGUAGGUGGUUCGUUAAGUCUGAUGUGAAAGCCCUGGGCUCAACCUGGGAAUUGCAUUGGAUACUGGCGGGCUGGAGUGCGGUAGAGGGUAGUGGAAUUCCCGGUGUAGCAGUGAAAUGCGUAGAUAUCGGGAGGAACAUCCGUGGCGAAGGCGGCCUCCUGGACCAUUCCUGACACUCAGACGCGAAAGCUAGGGUAGCAAACGGGAUUAGAUACCCGCGUAGUCCCUGA
rnacentral:rRNA from 1 species